rnacentral:rRNA from 1 species
UACGAAGGGUGCAAGCGUUAAUCGGAAUUAUUGGGCGUAAAGCGCGCGCAGGCGGUUUCUUAAGUCUGAUGUGAAAGCCCACGGCUCAACCGUGGAGGGUCAUUGGAAACUGGGGAACUUGAGUGCAGAAGAGAAAAGCGGAAUUCCACGUGUAGCGGUGAAAUGAGUAGAGAUGUGGAGGAACACCAGUGGCGAAGGCGGCUUUUUGGUCUGUAACUGACGCUGAGGCGCGAAAGCGUGGGGAGCAAACAGG